AUCAGUUCUACUGAGGCUGGAGCUACAGGUAGUCGUGAAUUGCCUGAUGUGGAUUCUAGGACGGAACUCCAGUUCUCCACAAAAGCACACAGAGCAGUGAUUUCAGCAGAACCCUGCCAGAGUGGGUUCAAGGGAUUCAUCCAAGCCUGGCACAAGAGAGCCGUUGGGUGAAAACUCAAGGAGCUGCUACAAAGUCAACUGAAGAAAUGAGUCUCGACUAAGCUUCAUUAAACUGCAAGUGGUCCUUGCUGCUCUCCCUCCCCUGUGGCCCUCACUGCAGGCUGAACUGCUUUGCACUGCAAACUCCGGUCUGAGGAGUGGAGCUGAGAAACCUAGCCAUAAGAGGAGAUGGAAAGAGGUAAGAGCCAGAGGUUAUGGAUGCCUCAAAGGAAGCAGUGUCCUCCAGACACAACAGGACUGAUGCACACAUGAGCUCACAGAGACUGUGUCAACACAAACAAGAUUUCUUUCUGGGAGGGAGGGGCUUGUUGACACCUCCCACUUAGAGCAGAGUGUGGAACUGAUAUUGUUAAUUGGCUCUAACCUGUGAGCUUGUGGCUAUUUUCUUCAAUAUAUUAUUUUAUCUUUCCUGUAAUUUUCAUAGCCUCU
rnacentral:lncRNA from 1 species